UCUCAUUCUGUCACUGGGCUGGAAUGCGGUGGCAAGAUCUCGGCUCACUGCAACCUCUGCCUCCUGGGUUGAAGCAAUUCUCCUGCCUCAGCCUUCUGAGUAGCUGAGAUUACAGAUGCACGCCACCAGGCCUGGCUAAUUCUGGUAUUUUUAGUAGAGGUGGGGUUUCACCAUGUUGGCCAGGCUGGUCUCGAACUCCUGACCUCAGGUGAUUCACCCACCUCGGCCUGCCAAAGUUCUGGGAUUACAAGUGUGAGCCACCAUGCCUAGCCUGUUAAUUUUUUAAAAUAAGACUAGAAAAACUAAAAGAUUGCAUAGAUACUGUAUAUAAAACAGGCAAAAAAAGCAUUGUUUUAUUCAGUUUUUCUCUUACAUUUAUCUGGGGUAGAAAACAGUUUAGGCAAUGUCCUUUCAGAUUUAAUAAUCUACAGGUUUGUUCAUUCCCAACUCCCAUGAAAGCAGCCAUGAAAUUUGAGUCAUCCAGUGUAGAUGUGGAUCAGAUUGCUAAGGAAGAGGACGGGCUAUCAGAAAGUUAAUGACUUGGCCAGAUGCCAUCAUUUAAAGGAACAAAGAGGACAUUCAAAACUUAAUGGAAGUAUUCAGUCCAUGAGACAAGAAGACAUGCUUUCAUUUUAAUCAGCUUUUCCUGCAUUAUGUUCCAUGAGUUUGGUACGCCAGCAAAUUACCAACUUCAGGUUCUUAAGCUCACAGGAAAGAGAAACCAUUACUUUUCCAUGUUUUUCGAAACAGAACUGUCUGUACGCAACAGAAUUGGGACUCCAAGACCAAAGUAAGACUAUAAGUCUGCGGAUUUAUUUAUUUAUUUAUUUAUUUCUGGCUAGGUUGAGGCUUCCUCAAAACUUACCUGCCUUGAGCACAGUUGUUCCCAGCUCUUAGCACAUAAUAGAUGCUUAUUUUGAGCUUAUCGGAUUGAAUUGAAUAUUAGGAGGUGGCUUUGACUUGCUGGGAUUAUUUUUAGGAUCCUUAGUUCCAGACUGGGUUAGCAGUUGUAGUAAAAAUAAGAGGACGAUACCUGAGUAGAAAAAAAGAGGGUCUUGGUGAGAUGCUUUUCAUGGUUAGAAUAUGGUAUCCCAGAUCAGAAAAGAGAGAGGCAUCAAUUGGAAUCCCAUCAAUGUAAGUCAGGAAAAUUGGCCUUGACUUCAGACUGGGGACUGGCUUUCCAGCACUCACAGAGGACAUGGCCACAGGGAUAGCAGAGGCAGGUGUAGACUGGUGAGCCACCAUGAGGAGCAGAGGGAGGUACCCUUUGAAAAUAUCAGAAUUGGCCAGGUGCAGUGGCUCACGCUUA
rnacentral:lncRNA from 1 species